UACGUAGGGGGCAAGCGUUGUUCGGAAUUACUGGGCGUAAAGGGCGCGUAGGCGGCAUGGCAAGUCGGGAGUGAAAGGCCUGGGCUCAACCGAGGAACUGCUUUCGAGACUGCCAAGCUAGAGUGCGGAAGGGGCAUCUGGAAUUCCCAGUGUAGCGGUGAAAUGCGUAGAUAUUGGAAGGAACAUCAGUGGCGAAAGCGACUUCCUGGACCAAUACUGACGCUCAUGUGCGAAAGCGUGGGGAGCAAACAGG
rnacentral:rRNA from 1 species